UACGAAGGGGGCUAGCGUUGUUCGGAAUUACUGGGCGUAAAGCGCACGUAGGCGGAUACUUAAGUCAGGGGUGAAAUCCCGGGGCUCAACCCCGGAACUGCCUUUGAUACUGUGUAUCUCGAGUCCGGAAGAGGUGAGUGGAAUUCCGAGUGUAGAGGUGAAAUUCGUAGAUAUUCGGAGGAACACCAGUGGCGAAGGCGGCGACCUGGGUCGAUACUGACGCUGAUGCGCGAAAGCGUGGGGAGCAAACAGG
rnacentral:rRNA from 1 species